CGGUUGAUCCUGCCGGAGGUCACUGCUAUUGGGAUUCGAUUAANCCAUGCGAGUCGAGAGGGUUCGGCCCUCGGCUGACGGCUCAGUAACACGUGGAUAAUCUGCCCNUNAGGUGGAGGAUAAUCUCGGGAAACUGAGGACAAUACUCCAUAGGUUUAGGAGGCUGGAAUGCAUCUAGACUGAAAGCUCCGGCGCCUAAGGAUGAGUCUGCGGACUAUCAGGUAGUAGUCAGGGUAAAGACCUGACUAGCNUACGACGGAUACGGGUUGUGAGAGCAAUAACCCGGAGACGAUAUCUGAGACACGAUAUCGGGCCCUACGGGGCGCAGCAGGCGCGAAAACUUCACACUGUGCGAAAGCACGAUGAGGGAAUCCCAAGUGCUUGCUCGUAAGAGUAAGCUGUUUUUCUGUCUAAAACGCAGAGAGAGUAAGAGCUGGGUAAGACGGGUGCCAGCCGCCGCGGUAAUACCUGCAGCUCAAGUGGUGGCCGCUAUUAUUGGGCCUAAAACGUCCGUAGCCGGUUUAGUAAAUGCCUGGGUAAAUCGUGUAGCUUAACUAUACGAAUUCCGGGUAGACUGCUAAACUUGAGACCGGGAGAAGCCAGAGGUACUCCUAGGGUAGAGGUGAAAUUCUGUAAUCCUAGGGGGACCACCAGUGGCGAAGGCGUCUAGCUAGAACGGGUCUGACGGUGAGGGACGAAACCCUGGGGCGCAAACCGGAUUAGAUACCCGGGUAGUCCAGGGCGUAAACGCUGCUUGCUUGAUGUUAGUUGGGCUCCGAGCCCAAUUAGUGUCGGAGAGAAGUUGUUAAGCAAGCUGCCUGGGAAGUACGGUCGCAAGGCUGAAACUUAAAGGAAUUGGCGGGGGAGCAC
rnacentral:rRNA from 1 species